CUAACCAAACUCAAGGGUAUUUAAGAACUCACAAAAAAAGAAGACAAGCUAGGUUAUCUAGCUAAAAGAGACACUAUAAAACCAAACUAAAACCCUAACGCUAAAACUUAACUACUUGAUCUUAUCUGAGCAGGGAUCUGAACUCUCAAUCAAGCCAAAACCCUCUCUCUCUUCUUAGAGCCACCCUCCAUGUCGCCAUGUCUGCUGGAGGCUCCGCCAUUGAGCAAAGAGGGGGAGAGAUUUGGUCUUUGGUCAUUUUCGAGGUUCGAUUUCUGCGAUGAAGACUGCCUGCGGUCAGAGCCCGAUCUUUGUUCCUCGAUCGGGCAGUGAUGGCUUCGCGGGCUAACCCCCAACCAUCAAAAGUUUGUUUUUAUGCCUUUUCUUAGAUAUCUAAUCUUGAUUGAUCCUUUUUCCUUUUUUUUGACACUGUUACUCCACGUGCUAUAUUAUGUAUAUAAUAUAGAAAAAUAAUUAUUUGAAACUAAAGGGUUUUUUUCUCCCGCUUUGUUGCCCUUUGUUCUUGAUUUUUUUUUUUUGAAAAUUCAAGCAUGUAUGUAUUGGAAUUCAAUUCAUUUUGGAGUCCUGUAAUCUAUUGUGUUUGUUUUUGUCCAAAACAGUGUAGCUCUCUGCUGCUCGUUGCUCAACAUCAUUUGCAGCACUAGUAGCUAAAGGCAAAGAACACAAAAUAGGCUGUCUGCAUUAGCGAAGAGGAUGACAAAGGUCUAAUCAAAUUUCUGUGCACCUGGGAAACCAUCCAUUGCUGAAGAGAUGCCUUAUUAUGUUUCUGUACUGUUGAUGUUCUCUCAUCAUGCUUUUCUUAGCUGUGUCCAGCUGAUGAACCUUAUUGCUCUAAUCCUGCAAUUCUAUUUUAACGAGAGAAGGAUUUCUGAACUUUACAGCAUUUACAUGUCGUUAACAGCAAAACUUAUUAAGCUGAACCAAUCAUUUCCAAAAUUUUUAGAUUGUUUCGCUAUUUAUUUUUUUAAAAAAAUUGUGUUAUUUUUUAAAAAUCAUUUUAAAUGAGCAAAAAUACUCAUUUUCUUCACAUGGAUUUAUUUUUAGUGGAGUUUUUUUUAGUGGAGUUUUUUUUUUUUUUUAAUCUUUUGAAUUUAUUGACCCCCGUUAAAUCCUCUAUUUAUAGGUCAGUUGAUGAGUGACUUGUAAAUAUGUUUGACAUAGAACUUUCUUUGAUGAAAUGUGUCCCUCUAAUCCAACCAGUUGAUUUGCCUGCUUUGUUUA